AAUAGAAGCAGCAGAAGACGCAGUAGAAGAAGAACUCUGCAGCAGCUUCAGGGAGCACGCGCAUGCUGGAGUCUUCCAAUGUGUUAGCAAAGGGGAUCCUUUAUAUUCCGCUUAGAUCCACCCGAAGUACCCCAGUUCCAGUGAAGCGAGCAGUGUGGACCUGACCUCCAUGCAUGGUCGACCUGCUGCAGUGAAAGUGAGUUCUUCACAGAACUACAUCUACCAAAAGCACUGGGCUGAAAGUUAUUUAUUACCAAAUAAACACAUAUUGUGAAUUGAA